rnacentral:tRNA from 1 species
GCCGAGAUGGCGGAAUUGGUAGACGCGCUAGGUUCAGGCCCUAGUGAGACGCAAGUCUUGUGGAGGUUCGAGUCCUCUUCUCGGUACCA